UUGAAAGGGAAACGAUUGAAGUCAGUCGUACCAGCGGGAAAUCAACCUUUCGAGUGGGGUUUUGGAGUUUUGAAGUGUGUCAAAACCUUUGAGAUUUCAAAAUGCUCGCUCCUUUGGUGUACUUUCUCGUAGGUAGGUUAACAUCGAUUUCGAUUCAUCAUAAAAGGAUUGGAGGAAUGUAGCUUCGAUCUUGUAUUGAAGUGUUAUAGCCUUUGGUAAAUGUGAUGAUUGGGAUCGAGGAUUGCAACGAAUACCCUUUUGGGCUAUCCGCCUGAUCUCUGACACGUGGCCUUGGCAUCGAAAGCUUGCUUAUGGUAUCAAGGUAUUACGGUCAAAAGGUUAGAACGGAUUACAUUCGUUAAGGAUGUUGACGUAAGUC
rnacentral:rRNA from 1 species